rnacentral:ncRNA from 2 species
GCCCGUUCUCAGGGCGGGGUGCAAUUCCCCACCGGCGGUUAAAGCCCGCGAGCGGCCCGGUUCGGGUGACAGCAGAUCCGGUGAAAUUCCGGGGCCGACGGUGAUAGUCCGGAUGGAAGAGAGCGGGU